UCUGCUCUGUCUUUUGGCCAGCUUGAACGUUCACACAACUGACUCCAUCUGGCUCGAUGGGAUCUUCCUCCGUGCAAGUACAUUUCAACGUUUACGGGCCAGGAACUUUUCCUACAAUCUGCCUUUGCUAGUGUGGGGAAAUCCAGGACAUCUUGUGAAUGAAGAGCCGGUAUUCUGGCAUGGGUCCUCCAGCUGGAGCUGCUCAUCUUUGCACGAUUUAACGGUCCAAAGAGAGGCGUUAACACCCUGGCAGUUAGAGCACCCUCACCCUACGGCUGGAGAUCUGCCCUGCACUGGAGAAACUCAACAGCCAAGUUGCGGAUCACGAAGGGGUUGUUUGAGUGCAGAAAAGCCUAGAAGGGCAGGUUCUUCUGCUUUACAUGAUCGUGUUUGCCCAUGCUCCUAAGGGGCCAUGCAGCCGGACUGGUCAAACAGAGGAUGUCCAAAGAAAAGGUGUGUGUCCUAGGAGCCUGGAGGUAUAGGGUUCUCCAUCGACCAGAUGAGCCAUCUCCACUGGGAAGAGAAAAACUGCAUUUUCAUGUGGCAGAAUCUGCACAGCAGACUUUCAAAUGCGUGACAGUUGCUCACACUUUUGCUUUGUUCAUUUUUAACUUAUUUACAUAUAUUCAAGAUGAACAUAGUCAUGUACUCACACCUGUACAUACAGUAAGUAUAUUGAACUAAUCCUGUUUCCAAAACUCCUUGCUUCUGCUAGCUCUUAAAAUACCCUUGGAGUAUCUUCUGUGUCAGAAAGUGCUGUGGAGAUGAGAAAGGUAUGAAGAAAGGCAUUUAUUGGAAGCAAUGUGGCUAUUCAUCUGCGAAG